rnacentral:rRNA from 1 species
GACGAACGCUGGCGGCGUGCCUAAUACAUGCAAGUAGAACGCUGAAGAGAGGAGCUUGCUCUUCUUGGAAGAGUUGCGAACGGGUGAGUAACGCGUAGGUAACCUGCCUUGUAGCGGGGGAUAACUAUUGGAAACGAUAGCUAAUACCGCAUAACAAUGGAUGACCCAUGUCAUUUAUUUGAAUGGGGCAACUGCUCCACUACAAGAUGGACCUGGGUUGUAUUAGCUAGUAGGUGAGGUAACGGCUCACCUAGGCGACGAUACAUAGCCGACCUGAGAGGGUGAUCGGCCACACUGGGACUGAGACACGGCCCAGACUCCUACGGGAGGCAGCAGUAGGGAAUCUUCGGCAAUGGGGGCAACCCUGACCGAGCAACGCCGCGUGAGUGAAGAAGGUUUUCGGAUCGUAAAGCUCUGUUGUAAGUCAAGAACGAGUGUGAGAGUGGAAAGUUCACACUGUGACGGUAGCUUACCAGAAAGGGACGGCUAACUACGUGCCAGCAGCCGCCGUAA